UACGGCGGGUGCGAGCGUUUAUCGGAAUUACUGGGCGUAAAGCGUGCGUAGGCGGAUGCUUGAGUCGGAUGUGAAAGCCCUGGGCUCAACCUGGGAAUGGCAUUCGAUACUGGGCAUCUAGAGUGUGGUAGAGGGGGGUAGAAUUCCUGGUGUAGCGGUGAAAUGCGUAGAGAUCAGGAUGAAUUUCUAAGGAGACGGCGACCACCGGGAUCAACACUGACGCUGAGGUACGAAAGCGUGGGUAGCAAACAGG
rnacentral:rRNA from 1 species